rfam:Olsenella scatoligenes strain SK9K4 contig_5, whole genome shotgun sequence.
GUGCGCGUAACUUUCUCGCAUCGGGCCGCGUUGGCGCGUCUCGCUUGCAAGGGGGAGGGGAAUGGGUCCCCUCCGGUUGCGUCGCGCGAAAGG